rnacentral:rRNA from 1 species
CGCGGGAUUAGAGUUUGAUCAUGGCUCAGAUUGAACGCUGGCGGCAGGCCUAACACAUGCAAGUCGAGCGGUAACAGGAAUUAGCUUGCUAAUUCGCUGACGAGCGGCGGACGGGUGAGUAAUGCCUGGGAAUAUGCCUUAGUGUGGGGGAUAACUAUUGGAAACGAUAGCUAAUACCGCAUAAUGUCUUCGGACCAAAGAGGGGGACCUUCGGGCCUCUCGCGCUAAGAUUAGCCCAGGUGAGAUUAGCUUGUUGGUGAGGUAAGAGCUCACCAAGGCGACGAUCUCUAGCUGGUCUGAGAGGAUGAUCAGCCACACUGGAACUGAGACACGGUCCAGACUCCUACGGGAGGCAGCAGUGGGGAAUAUUGCACAAUGGGCGCAAGCCUGAUGCAGCCAUGCCGCGUGUAUGAAGAAGGCCUUCGGGUUGUAAAGUACUUUCGGUGGGGAGGAAGGUGUUGUCGUUAAUAGCGGCAGCAUUUGACGUUACCCACAGAAGAAGCACCGGCUAACUCCGUGCCAGCAGCCGCGGUAAUACGGAGGGUGCGAGCGUUAAUCGGAAUUACUGGGCGUAAAGCGCAUGCAGGUGGUUCAUUAAGUCAGAUGUGAAAGCCCGGGGCUCAACCUCGGAACCGCAUUUGAAACUGGUGAACUAGAGUGCUGUAGAGGGGGGUAGAAUUUCA